UGCAGAAGGUAAAGGAAAGACUCUGGUUGUGGAAGGCGAUGGAACGAUUGAAGAAGGUGGUUAUGAGAAGGAGGGAAUGGCUGUGAUUGAAGAAAGCAGGGUGGGUCGAGAUAUCAGCUUGGACGAGAUGAUUGAAAAUGGACCUUCUCUUCAUCCCUACCGAAGCCCUAAAGAAAUGAAAGACACAUGUACUGACAACUGGCAAGGUACAGCGAGGAGAAAAGGUCGACAGAAGGAGGAUAAAUCCCAUUUAUGGUGGAUAGUAUGUGAGACAGCGGUACAGUACUGGGUCGAUGGCUAUAAAACAGAUGGUGUUGGUUUGAAUGUGUUCAAUGAAAACUUGGCAGAAGUGGCGGAGGAUCCCCAGGGCUUGGCCGUGUCUCUCUAUCCAGGCAUCAAAUGGAAUGGCUGGCUUGGGCCUUAAAGCAGGAGGCAUUAAAGAUUGCUGGCGGUAUCCUUGCUGAUGAGAUGAGAAUGGGAAAGACAAUUGAAGCGAUUUCGCUCAUUCUCGCUGCUCGUAUUAUUUAUCCAAUGGGCUGCAGUUGCAGUACAUCUACACCCUCUCCAUGGUCUGUUGAAUGCACACUCGUAGUUUGCCCUGUGGUUGGCUUGGAUCAGUGGAAGGAUGAGAUUGCUUUGUCGACUAACGAAAAGAGCACUAAAUUUCUGGUUUAUCAUGGGCCCACAAGAAACUUGCGUCUUGAGCAGCUCUCUGAAUGCAAUAUAGUAUUGACAACUUAUGAUACUGUUGCAGCGGAUUACAAAAAUCACUCACCAAAGGAUUCAUAUGUAGGAAAGGAGCUAGUGAGACUAAAGAGCAGGAAAAAGAACAAACAGAUAAGGGUGCUACUUCUUCCAAUGGCAGUUCGAUGGCUGCCGACCAAGGUUCAUCACCAAUGAAAUCAGUUUUGUACUAUGUGAAGUGGCACCUAUUAUUUUAGACAAGGCUCAUUGUAUAAAAGGUGCAUGUAGUAGUGGUAAGAUUUCAGAGGCUGUUUUUGCUUUGAACUCUUCAUAUAGAUGGGCAUUAACUGCCAUGCUCGUUCAGAAUUGUUUAAAAGAGUUCGAGUCACUGAUUGAGUUCCUGCGAAUAUUUCCUUUCUCACGGACCUUCUGUAAGGAUUGUGAUUGCAUAUCAUCUGAGAGGCAAGCUUGCUUUCCUUAAUGGUUUGCUCUUAUGGGCACGCAUUCUGCGAGGAUUGCUUACAGCCUAAAGAUCCUUUUUGUCCAGAUUGUCUAGUUCAACGGAUUCUUUACCACACUACCAAGGGUUCUUAGCAUUCACGUGAUCUAGAACGAAUCAAUGUUGACAACUUUCCGGCAAGCACAAAAAUGAAUGCUUUGAACCUUGCCAGUAUCCAGCUUUGGAGCAGCAGGCACAAGAUCGAAUUCACUGUAUUGGACAAAACAAACAGACUAGGGUCGUGAAAUUCAGACACUGUCGAUUAGAGAAUUCUGAGUUUGCAAUAGACGAAGCCAGUACAUCAAGUGAUUAGUUCACUUGCUAGCAUCUGAAACCCCAAAUCGCAUUUGUAAGUUUCUCAUUUGCCUCUUGUUGUAUGGUUUAUAGGAUUAUGUUCGGUACUUCAAAAGAUCUGAAAGGAUUAAGAAAGUGCAUUUGAAGUUGAUGUUCUUCAAAUGAGAUACAGCUCUCGUCUGCUCGCGGGUAUAUGAAUCCAUGGAGCUCUCUCUCUCUCU